UCGAGAAUCUUCGGCAAUGGGCGCAAGCCUGACCGAGCGACGCCGCGUGUGGGAUGAAGGCCUUCGGGUUGUAAACCACUGUCAGAGGGGAUGAAAUGCAGGUGGGUUCUCCCAUCUGUUUGACAUAGCCUCAGAGGAAGGACGGGCUAAGUUCGUGCCAGCAGCCGCGGUAAGACGAACCGUCCAAACGUUAUUCGGAAUUACUGGGCUUAAAGGGUGCGUAGGCGGCGCGGAAAGUUGGGUGUGAAAUCCCUCGGCUCAACCGAGGAACUGCGCCCAAUACUACCGUGCUUGAGGGAGAUAGAGGUGAGCGGAACUUAGGGUGGAGCGGUGAAAUGCGUUGAUAUCCUAAGGAACACCGGUGGCGAAAGCGGCUCACUGGAUCUCUUCUGACGCUGAGGCACGAAAGCUAGGGUAGCGAACG
rnacentral:rRNA from 1 species